rnacentral:rRNA from 1 species
GACGAACGCUGGCGGCGUGCCUAACACAUGCAAGUCGAACGGAGACUUCAAGAACGAGAAUUUCGGUUCAAGUUUUUGAUGUUCUUAGUGGCGGACGGGUGAGUAACGCGUGAGCAAUCUGCCUUUCAGAGGGGGAUAACACUCUGAAAAGAGUGCUAAUACCGCAUAACGUGUUUGGGUGGCAUCGCCUGAACACCAAAGGAGCAAUCCGCUGAAAGAUGAGCUCGCGUCCAAUUAGGUAGUUGGUGAGGUAAUGGCUCACCAAGCCGACGAUUGGUAGCCGGACUGAGAGGUUGAACGGCCACAUUGGAACUGAGAUACGGUCCAGACUCCUACGGGAGGCAGCAGUGGGGGAAUAUUGGGGCAAUGGGCGAAAGCCUGACCCAGCGACGCCGCGUGAGGGAAGAAGAUCUUCGGAUUGUAACCUUAGUCAACAGGGAAGAAGAAAGUGACGGUACCUGUGGAGGAAGCCACGGCUAACUACGUGCCAGCAG